rnacentral:tmRNA from 1 species
GAGGGCUGGCUUCCGUGAACCCCGCCGGCGAGGCGACGCGGAAGUGAGAUCAGAGCGCCGGAUACGCUCGUAGACAUCAUCUUUUACGCGAUUGCGGACGCGGGUUCGAUUCCCGCCGUCUCCACUG